rnacentral:rRNA from 1 species
GACGAACGCUGGCGGCGUGCUUAACACAUGCAAGUCGAACGGAAAGGCCCUGCUUUUGUGGGGUGCUCGAGUGGCGAACGGGUGAGUAACACGUGAGUAACCUGCCCUUGACUUUGGGAUAACUUCAGGAAACUGGGGCUAAUAACGGAUAGGAGCUCCUGCUGCAUGGUGGGGGUUGGAAAGUUUCGGCGGUUGGGGAUGGACUCGCGGCUUAUCAGCUUGUUGGUGGGGUAGUGGCUUACCAAGGCUUUGACGGGUAGCCGGCCUGAGAGGGUGACCGGCCACAUUGGGCCUGAGAUACGGCCCAGACUCCUACGGGAGGCAGCAGUGGGGAAUAUUGCACAAUGGGCGGAAGCCUGAUGCAGCAACGCCGCGUGCGGGAUGACGGCCUUCGGGUUGUAAACCGCUUUCGCCUGUGACGAAGCGUGAGUGACGGUAAUGGGUAAAGAAGCACCGGCUAACUCCGUG